rnacentral:rRNA from 1 species
UGCAGUCGAGCGGACCGACGGGAGCUUGCUCCCUUAGGUCAGCGGCGGACGGGUGAGUAACACGUGGGUAACCUGCCUGUAAGACUGGGAUAACUCCGGGAAACCGGGGCUAAUACCGGAUGCUUGAUUGAACCGCAUGGUUCAAUCAUGAAAGGCGGCUUCGGCUGCCGUUUACAGAUGGACCCGCGGCGCAUUAGCUAGUUGGUGAGGUAACGGCUCACCAAGGCGACGAUGCGUAGCCGACCUGAGAGGGUGAUCGGCCACACUGGGACUGAGACACGGCCCAGACUCCUACGGGAGGCAGCAGUAGGGAAUCUUCCGCAAUGGACGAAAGUCUGACGGAGCAACGCCGCGUGAGUGAUGAAGGUUUUCGGAUCGUAAAGCUCUGUUGUUAGGGAAGAACAAGUACCGUUCGAAUAGGGCGGUACCUUGACGGUACCUAACCAGAAAGCCACGGCUAACUACGUGCCAGCAGCCGCGGUAAUACGUAGGUGGCAAGCGUUGUCCGGAAUUAUUGGGCGUAGAGCGCGCGCAGGCGGUUUCUUAAGUCUGAUGUGAAAGCCCCCGGCUCAACCGGGGAGGGUCAGUGGAAACUGGGGAACUUGAGUGCAGAAGAGGAGAGUGGAAUUCCACGUGUAGCGGU